UACGUAGGGGGCUAGCGUUGUCCGGAAUCAUUGGGCGUAAAGAGCGUGUAGGCGGCCCGGUAAGUCCGCUGUGAAAGUCGGGGGCUCAACCCUCGAAUGCCGGUGGAUACUGUCGGGCUAGAGUGCGGAAGAGGCGAGUGGAAUUCCUGGUGUAGCGGUGAAAUGCGCAGAUAUCGGGAGGAACACCAAUGGCGAAGGCAGCUUGCUGGGACGGUACUGACGCUGAGGCGCGAAAGCGUGGGGAGCAAACAGG
rnacentral:rRNA from 1 species